GUGCCAGCCGCUGCGGUAAUACGGAGGGUGCAAGCGUUAAUCGGAAUUACUGGGCGUAAAGCGCACGCAGGCGGUGAUUAAGUUAGAUGUGAAAUCCCCGGGCUUAACCUGGGAACUGCAUUUAAAACUGGUCAGCUAGAGUCUUGUAGAGGGGGUAGAAUUCCACGUGUAGCGGUGAAAUGCGUAGAGAUGUGGAGGAAUACCGGUGGCGAAGGCGGCCCCCUGGACAAAGACUGACGCUCAGGUGCGAAAGCGUGGGGAGCAAACAGGAUUAGAUACCCUGGUAGUCCACGCUGUAAACGAUGUCGAUUUGGAGGUUGUGCCCUUGAGGGCGUGGCUUCCGGAGCUAACGCGUUAAAUCGACCGCCUGGGGAGUACGGCCGCAAGGUUAAACUCAAAUGAAUUGACGGGGCCCGCACAAGCGGUGAGCAUGUGGUUUAAUUCGAUGCAACGCGAAGAACCUUACCUACUCUUGACAUCCAGAGAACUUAGCAGAGAUGCUUUGGUGCCUUCGGGAACUCUGAGACAGGUG
rnacentral:rRNA from 1 species